GGCUUAGUAGAAAAAACACCGGACUGGCAAUCAGAAGAUCUGAGUUCUAAUCUCAGCUGUGCCA
rnacentral:tRNA from 1 species